rnacentral:rRNA from 1 species
CAGUAGCCGCGGGAAAACGAAGGGUGCAAGCGUUACUCGGAAUUACUGGGCGUAAAGCGUGCGUAGGUGGUGGUUUAAGUCCGUCGUGAAAGCCCUGGGCUCAACCUGGGAAUUGCAGUGGAUACUGGAUCACUAGAGUGUGGUAGAGGAUAGUGGAAUUUCCGGUGUAGCAGUGAAAUGCGUAGAGAUCGGAAGGAACAUCUGUGGCGAAGGCGACUAUCUGGGCCAACACUGACACUGAGGCACGAAAGCGUGGGGAGCAAACAGGAUUAGAGACCCCGGUAGUCCCUGUCUCUUAUAC